rnacentral:rRNA from 1 species
UACAGGGGGGGCAAGCGUUGUUCGGAAUUACUGGGCGUAAAGGGCCAGUAGGCGGCCAACUAAGUCACACGUGAAAUCCCCGGGCUUAACCCGGGAACUGCGUGUGAUACUGGAUGGCUUGAAUUCGGGAGAGGGAUGCAGAAUUCCAGGUGUAGCGGUGAAAUGCGUAGGAGAUAUGGAGGAACACCAGUGGCGAAGGCGGCUUCCUGGUCUGUAACUGACACUGAGGCGCGAAAGCGUGGGGAGCAAACAGG